rnacentral:lncRNA from 1 species
GGUCAACAAAUAACACUCAAACAUAAAAGAGAAUAAUGAAGAACAAUGCAAAAUGGAGGAGAAUAGGGGAUACGGAGGAAACUUACCUGACAAGUAUUUCCCCAUAAACUUCUCUUUACCUCGAGAAACUUGAAAAUUCUACCCUUACGCUUAUAGAAGGUAGCGAAAGGUGUAGAGAUCAAAUGUAAAAGCGAGAAUUACAAAAUUAACUCUUAAGGCUUAAUAUGGUUGAAAGGAAAUCAAAUUCUGCCCAUACGAAACUAAAGAAAUGAGGAAUAGACAACGCAACAUCAAGAUAAAAACAAAGAAAGAAAUUAUUGGAUUCAAUAUUAAUUUUCUAGAACACACAUAUAGUAAACAUAUAACACGAAAACAUAAAAGAUAAAUAAGAAGAACAACGCAAAAUUUGAGAGAAUAGGGAAUAUGGAGAAAACUUAUCGAAGAACUAAUUCCCAAUAAACUUCUCUUGACAAGGGGAAACCUAAAAAUUCUACCCUUACGCUUAAAGCAAUGUAGAGAAAGGAGUAGAGAUCAAAUUUUAAAACCACAAUGUACUUGAAAGUAAAUAAAAUUUUUUUGAUAAGAAACUAAAGAAAUGAAAAAUAGAAAACACAACAUAGAGCUCUAAAAAAAACAAUGAAAUCAAAGGAUUGAAAAUUCAUUAUCUACUAGAUACACGCAGUGAACAAAUAACACUCAAAUAUAAAAGAGAAGAAUAAAGAACAAUGCGAAAUGGAGGAGAAUAGGGGAUACGGAGAAAACUUACCUGACAAGUAUUUUCAAACAAACUUCUCCUUUCCUCGGGAAACCUGAAAAUUCUACUUUCACGCUUACCUAACAAGUAUGUGUACUAGAAAAUUAAUUUUGAAUUCGUUAAUUUCUUUAUUUGUUUUUUAUCUUGAUCUUGCGUUGUCUAUUCCUCAUUUCUUUAGUUUUGUACCUGCAUAAUUUGAUUUUCUUUCAAUGAUAUUGUUCCUUAAGAGUUAAUUUUGUUAUUCUCAUUUUUACGUUUGAUUAAGCGUAAGGGUAAAAUUUUCAAGUUUCCCGAGGAAAAGUGAGGUUUGUUUGAAAAUACUUGUCAGGUAAGUUUUCUCCGUAUCCCCUAUUCUCCUCCAUUUCGCAUUGUUCUUCAUUCUUCUCUUUUAUAUUUGAGUGUUAUUUGUUCACUGCGUGUAUCUAGUAGAUAAUGAAUUUUCAAUCCUUUGAUGUCAUUGUCUUUUUUAGAACUCUAUGUUGUGUUUUCUAUUUUUCAUUUCUUUAGUUUCUUAUCAAAAAAAUUUUAUUUACUUUCAAGUACAUUGUGGUUUUAAAAUUUGAUCUCUACUCCUUUCUCUACCUUGCUUUUAGCGUAAGGGUAGAAUUUUUAGGUUUCCUCUAGUUCAGAGAAGGUUAUUAGGAAUUAGUUCUUCCAUAAGUUUUCUCCAUGUUCCCUAUUCUAUCAAAUUUUGCAUUGUUAUUCUUAUUUAUUUUUUAUGUUUUCGUGUUAUAUGUUUACUAUAUGUGUGUUCUAGAAAAUUAAUAUUGAAUCAAAUAAUUUCUUUCUUUGUUUUUAUCUUGAUGUUGCGUUGUCUAUUCCUCAUUUCUUUAGUUUCGUAUGGGCAGAAUUUGAUUUCCUUUACAACAUAUUAAGCCUUAAGAGUUAAUUUUCUAAUUCUCGUUUUUACAUUUGAUCUCUACACUUUUCGCUACCUUCUAUAAGCGUAAGGGUAGAAUUUUCAAGUUUCUCGAGGUAAAGAGAAGUUUAUGGGGAAAUACUUGUCAGGUAAGUUUCCUCCGUAUCCCCUAUUCUCCUCCAUUUUGCAUUGUUCUUUAUUAUUCCCUUUUAUGUUUGAGUGUUAUUUGUUGACCGCUUGUGUGUAGUAAAGAAUUAAUUUUCAAUCCUUUGAUUCCUUUGUUUGUUUUUAAAAGCUUGAUGUUGUGUUUUUUAUUCCUUAUUUCUUUAGUUUCGUAUCAGAAUAAUUUGAUUUAUUUUCAAGGACAUUGUGGUUUUAACAUUUGAUAUCUACUCCUUUCUCUAUCUUGCUUUAAGAAGAAUGGUAGAAUUUUCAGGUUUUCCGUGGUAAAGAGAAGUUUAUUGGGAAUUANNNNNNNNNNNNNNNNNNNNNNNNNNNNNNNNNNNNNNNNNNNNNNNNNNNNNNNNNNNNNNNNNNNNNNNNNNNNNNNNNNNNNNNNNNNNNNNNNNNNAACAGUGCAAAAUUUGAGAGAAUAGGGAAUACGGAGGAAACUUAUUCAAGAACUAAUUCCCAAUAAACUUCUCUUUACCACGAGAAACCUGAAAAUUCUACCCUUAUGCUUAAUGCAAGGUAGAGAAAGGAGUAGAGAUAAAAUGUUAAAACCACAAUAUCCUUAAGAGUAAAUAAAAUUAUUCGGAUACGAAACUAAAGAUAUGAGCAAUAGAAAACACAACAUUAAACUUUUAAAAACAAACAAAGGAAUCAAAGGAUUGAAAAUUAAUUCUAUACUACACACAAGCGGUCAACAAAUAACACUCAAACAUAAAAGAGAAUAAUGAAGAAGAAUGCAAAAUGGAGGAGAAUAUGGGAUACGGAGGAAACUUACUUGACAAGUAUUUCCUCAUAAACUUCUCUUUACCUCGAGAAACUUGAAAAUUCUACCCUUACGCUUAUAGAAGGUAGCGAAAGGUAUAGAGAUCAAAUGUAAAAACGAGAAUUACAAAAUUAACUCUUAAGGCUUAAUAUGGUUGAAAAGGAAAUCAAAUUUUGCCGAUACGAAACUAAAGAAAUGAGGAAUAGACAACGCAACAUCAAGAUAAAAACAAAGAAAGAAAUUAUUGGAUUGAAUAUUAAUUUUCUAGAACACACAUAUAGUAAACAUAUAACACGAAAACAUAAAAGAUAAAUAAGAAGAACAACGCAAAAUUUGAGAGGAUAGGGAAUAUGGAGAAAACUUAUCGAAGAACUAAUUCCCAAUAAACUUCUCUUGACAAGGGGAAACCUAAAAAUUCUACCAUUACGCUUAAAGUAAGGUAGAGAAAGGAGUACAGAUCAAAUUUUAAAACCACAAUGUACUUGAAAGUAAAUAAAAUUUUUUUGAUAAGAAACUAAAGAAAUGAAAAAUAGAAAACACAACAUAGAGCUCUAAAAAAACAAUGAAACCAAAGGAUUGAAAAUUCAUUAUCUACUAGAUACACGCAGUGAACAAAUAACACUCAAAUAUAAAAGAGAAGAAUAAAGAACAAUGCGAAAUGGAGGAGAAUAGGGGAUACGGAGAAAACUUACCUGACAAGUAUUUUCAAACAAACUUCUCUUUUCCUCGGGAAACCUGAAAAUUUUACUUUCACGCUUACCUGACAAGUAUGUGUGUACUAGAAAAUUAAUUUUGAAUUCGUUAAUUUCUUUAUUUGUUUUUUAUCUUGAUCUUGCGCUUGUCUCUUCCUCAUUUCUUUAGUUUUGUACCUGCAUAAUUUGAUUUCCUUUUAACGAUAUUGUGCCUUAAGAGUUAAUUUUCUUGUUCUCAUUUUUACAUUUGAUCUCUACUCCUUUUGCUCCAUUCAAUAAGCGUAAGGGUAGAAUUUUCAGGUUUCCCGAGGAAAAGAGAAGUUUGUUUGAAAAUACUUGUCAGGUAAGUUUUCUCUAUAUCCCCUAUUCUCCUCCAUUUCGCAUUGUUCUUCAUUCUUCUCUUUUAUAUUUGAGUGUUAUUUGUUCACUGCGUAUAUCUAGUAGAUAAUGAAUUUUCAAUCCUUUUAUUUCAUUGCUUUUUUUAGAGCUCUAUGUUUUGUUUUCUAUUUCUCAUUUCUUUAGUUUCUUAUCAAAAAAAUUUUAUUUACUUUCAAGUACAUUGUGGUUUUAAAAUUUGAUCUCUACUCCUUUCUCUACCUUGCUUUGAGCGUAAGGGUAGAAUUUUUAGAUUUCCCCUUGUCAAGAGAAGUUUAUUGGGAAUUAGUUCUUCGAUAAGUUUUCUCCAUAUUCUCUAUUCUCUCAAAUUUUGCGUUGUUCUUCUUAUUUAUCUGUUAUGUUUUCGUGUUAUAUGUUUACUAUAUGUGUGUUCUAGAAAAUUAAUAUUCAAUCCAAUAAUUUCUUUCUUUGUUUUUUAUCUUGAUGUUGCCUUGUCUAUUCCUCAUUUCUUUUGUUUCGUAUCGGCAGAAUUUGAUUUCCUUUCAACCAUAUUAAGCCUUAAGAGUUAAUUUUCUAAUUUUCGUUUUUACAUUUGAUCUCUACACCUUUCGCUACCUUCUAUAAGCGUAAGGGUAGAAUUUUCAAGUUUCUCGAGGUAAAGAGAAGUUUAUGAGGAAAUACUUGUCCAGUAAGUUUCCUCCGUAUCCCCUAUUCUCCUCCAUUUUGCAUUGUUCUUCAUUAUUCUCUUUUAUGUUUGAGUGUUAUUUGUUGACCGUUUGUGUGUAAUAGAGAAUUAAUUUUCAAUCCUUUGAUUCCUUUGUUUGUUUUUAAAAGUUUGAUGUUGUUUUUUCUAUUGCUCAUAUCUUUAGUUUCGUAUCCGAAUAAUUUUAUUUACUCUCAAGGACAUUGUGGUUUUAACAUUUGAUCUCUACUCCUUUCUCUACCUUGCAUUAAGCAUAAGGGUAGAAUUUUCAGGUUUCUCGUGGUAAAGAGAAGUUUAUUGGGAAUUAGUUCUUGAAUAAGUUUCCUCCGUAUUUCCUAUUCUCUCAAAUUUUGCACUGUCUACUGUAUGAGUGUACGAAAAAAUUACUUUUGAACCCGUUAAAAAAACAAAAAAUGGUAAACGAACUAAUUCCCAAUAAACUUCUCUUUACCUACAAAAACUUAAAAACUCAAACCCUCUUCUUAACGCUCGGUAUAGAUAGGAGUAUAGAUCAAAUGUAAAAACAAAAAUUUCCUUGAAAGUAAAAAUUAUUAUUCGGAUACUAAUCNAAAGAUAUGAGCAAUAGAAAAAACUACAUCAACUUUUAAUAAACAACAAAGGAAUCAAAGGAUUGAAAAUUAAUUCUCAAUUACACACAAACGGUCAACAAAUAACACUCAAACAUAAAAGAGAAUAAUUAAUAACAAUGCAAAAUGGAGGAGAAUAUGGGAUACGGAGGAAACUUACCUGACAAGUAUUUCCCCAUAAACUUCUCUUUACCUCGAGAAACUUGAAAAUUCUACCCUUACGCUUAUAGAAGGUAGCGAAAGGUGUAGAGAUCAAAUGUAAAAACGAGAAUUAGAAAAUUAACUCUUAAGGCUUAAUAUGGUUGAAAGGAAAUCAAAUUCUGCCGGUACGAAACUAAAGAAAUGAGGAAUAGACAACGCAACAUCAAGAUAAAAAACAAAGAAAGAAAUUAUUGGAUUCAAUAUUAAUUUUCUAGAACACACAUAUAGUAAACAUAUAAUACGAAAACAUAAAAGAUAAAUAAGAAGAAUAACGCAAAAUUUGAGAGAAUAGGAAAUAUGGAGAAAACUUAUCGAAGAACUAAUUCCCAAUAAACUUCUCUUGACAAGGGGAAACCUAAAAAUUCUACCAUUACGCUUAAAGUAAGGUAGAGAAAGGAGUAGAGAUCAAAUUUUAAAACCACAAUGUACUUGAAAGUAAAUAAAAUUUUUUUGAUAAGAAACUAAAGAAAUGAAAAAUAGAAAACACAACAUAGAGCUCUAAAAAAAACAAUGAAACCAAAGGAUUGAAAAUUCAUUAUCUACUAGAUACACGCAGUGAACAAAUAACACUCAAACAUAAAAGAGAAGAAUAAAGAACAAUGCAAAAUGGUGGAGAAUAGGAGAUACGAAGAAAACUUACUCGACAAGUAUUUCCAAACAAACUACUCUUUUCCUCGAGAAACCUUAAAAUUCUACUUUCACGCUUACCUGACAAGUAUGUGUGUACUAGAAAAUUAAUUUUGAAUUCGUUAAUUUCUUUAUUUGUUUUUUAUCUUGAUCUUGCGUUGUCUAUUCCUCAUUUCUUUAGUUUUGUACCUGCAUAAUUUGAUUUUCUUUCAACGAUAUUGUGCCUUAAGAGUUAAUUUUCUUGUUCUCAUUUUUACAUUUGAUCUCUACUCCNNNNNNNNNNNNNNNNNNNNNNNNNNNNNNNNNNNNNNNNNNNNNNNNNNNNNNNNNNNNNNNNNNNNNNNNNNNNNNNNNNNNNNNNNNNNNNNNNNNNAGUUCUUGGAUAAGUUUCCUCCGUAUUCCCUAUUCUCUCAAAUUUUGCACUGUCUACUGUAUGAGUGUACGAGAAAAUUACUUUUGAACCCGUUAAAAAAACAAAGAAAGGUUAACGAACUAAUUCCCAAUAAACUUCUCUUUACCACGAAAAACCUAAAAAUUCUACCAUUCUUUUUAAAGCAAGGUAGAGAAAGGAGUAGAUAUCAAAUGUUAAAACCACAAUGUCCUUGAAAGUAAAUCAAAUUAUUCUGAUACGAAACUAAAGAAAUGAGGAAUAAAAAACACAACAUCAAGCUUUAAAAAAAAAACAAAGAAAUCAAAGAAAUCAAAGGAUUGAAAAUUAAUUCUCUACUACACACAAGCGGUCAACAAAUAACACUCAAACAUAAAAGAGAAUAAUGAAGAACAAUGCAAAAUGGAGGAGAAUAGGGGAUACGGAGGAAACUUACCUGACAAGUAUUUCCCCAUAAACUUCUCUUUACCUUGAGAAACUUGAAAAUUCUACCCUUACGCUUAUAGAAGGUAGCGAAAGGUGUAGAGAUCAAAUGUAAAAACGAGAAUUAGAAAAUUAACUCUUAAGGCUUAAUAUGGUUGAAAGCAAAUCAAAUUUUGCCGAUACGAAACUAAAGAAAUGAGGAAUAGACAACGCAACAUCAAAAUAAAAAACAAAGAAAGAAAUUAUUGGAUUCAAUAUUAAUUUUCUAGAACACACAUAUAAUAAACAUAUAACACGAAAACAUAAAAGAGAAAUAAGAAGAACAACGCAAAAUUUGAGAGAAUAGGGAAUAUGGAGAAAACUUAUCUAAGAACUAAUUCCCAAUAAACUUCUCUUGACAAGGGGAAACUUAAAAAUUCUAUCCUUACGCUUAAAGCAAGGUAGAGAAAGGAAUAGAGAUCAAAUUUUAAAACCACAAUGUACUUGAAAGUAAAUAAAAUUUUUUUGAUAAGAAACUAAAGAAAUGAGAAAUAGAAAACACAACAUAGAGCUCCAAAAAAAACAAUGAAAUCAAAGGAUUGAAAAUUCAUUAUCUACUAGAUACACGCAGUGACCAAAUAACACUCAAAUAUAAAAGAGAAGAAUAAAGAACAAUGCAAAAUGGUGGAGAAUAGGAGAUACGAAGAAAACUUACUCGACAAAUAUUUCCAAACAAACUACUCUUUUCCUCGAGAAACCUUAAAAUUCUACUUUCACGCUUACCUGACAAGUAUGUGUGUACUAGAAAAUUAAUUUUGAAUUCGUUAAUUUCUUUAUUUGUUUUUUAUCUUGAUCUUGCGUUGUCUAUUCCUCAUUUCUUUAGUUUUGUACCUGCAUAAUUUGAUUUUCUUUCAACGAUAUUGUGCCUUAAGAGUUAAUUUUCUUGUUCUCAUUUUUACAUUUGAUCUCUACUCUUUUCGCUACAUUCUAUAAGCGUAAGGGUAGAAUUUUCAGGUUUCCCGAGUAAAAGAGAAGUUUGUUUGAAAAUACUUGUCAGGUAAGUUUUCUUCGUAUCCCCUAUUCUCCUCCAUUUCGCAUUGUUCUUCAUUCUUCUCUUUUAUAUUUGAGUGUUAUUUGUUCACUGCGUGUAUCUAGUAGAUAAUGAAUUUUCAAUCCUUUGAUUUCAUUGUUUUUUUUUAGAGCUCUAUGUUGUGUUUUCUAUUUCUCAUUUCUUUAGUUUGUUAUCAAAAAAUUUUUAUUUACUUUCAAGUACAUUGUGGUUUUAAAAUUUGAUCUCUACUCCUUUCUCUACCUUGCUUUAAGCGUAAGGGUAGAAUUUUUAGGUUUCCCCUUGUCAAAAGAAGUUUAUUGGGAAUUAGUUCUUCGAUAGGUUUUCUCCAUAUUCCCUAUUCUCUCAAAUUCUGCGUUGUUCUUCUUAUUUAUCUUUUAUGUUUUCGUGUUAUAUGUUUACUAUAUAUGUGUGUUCUAGAAAAUUAAUAUUGAAUCCAAUAAUUUCUUUCUUUGUUUUUUAUCUUGAUGUUGCGUUGUCUAUUCCUCAUUUCUUUAGUUUCGUACCGGCAGAAUUUGAUUUCCUUUCAACCAUAUUAAGCCUUAAGAGUUAAUUUUCUAAUUCUCGUUUUUACAUUUGAUCUCUACACCUUUCGCUACCUUCUAUAAGCGUAAGGGUAGAAUUUUCAAGUUUCUCGAGGUAAAGAGAAGUUUAUGGGGAAAUACUUGUCAGGUAAGUUUCCUCCGUAUCCCCUAUUCUCCUCCAUUUUGCAUUGUUCUUUAUUAUUCCCUUUUAUGUUUGAGUGUUAUUUGUUGACCGCUUGUGUGUAGUAGAGAAUUAAUUUUCAAUCCUUUGAUUUCUUUGUUUUUUUUUAAAAGCUUGAUGUGAUGUUUUUUAUUCCUCAUUUCUUUAGUUUCGUAUCAGAAUAAUUUGAUUUACUUUCAAGGACAUUGUGGUUUUAAAAUUUGAUAUCUAUUCCUUUCUCUACCUUGCUUUAAGAAGAAUGGUAGAAUUUUCAGGUUUUCCGUGCUAAAGAGAAGUUUAUUGGAAAUUAGUUCUUGAAUAAGUUUCCUCCGUAUUCCCUAUUCUCUCAAAUUUUGCACUGUCUACUGUAUGAGUGUACGAGAAAAUUACUUUUGAACCCGUUAAAAAAAAAAAGAAUGGUUAAAGAACUAAUUCCCAAUAAACUUCUCUUUACCACGGAAAACCUGAAAAUUCUACCAUUCUUCUUAAAGCAAGGUAGAGAAAGGAGUAGAUAUCAAAUGUUAAAACCACAAUGUCCUUGAAAGUAAAUCAAAUUAUUCUGAUACGAAACUAAAGAAAUGAGGAAUAAAAAACACAAC